rnacentral:rRNA from 1 species
GAUGAACGCUGGCUGUGUGCCUAAUACAUGCAUGUCGAGCGAAGCACUUUUGUGCUUAGCGGCGAAUGGGUGAGUAACACGUACUUAACCUACCCUCAAGAUUGGGACAACACUUGGAAACGAGUGCUAAUACCAAAUACGUAUUUUUAUCGCAUGAUAGAUAUAUAAAAGGAGCUUCGGCUUCACUAGAGGAUGGGAGUGCGCUACAUUAGUUAGUUGGUAGGGUAAUGGCCUGCCAAGACUAUGAUGUAUAGCGGGGCCGAGAGGCUGAUCCGCCACACUGGGACUGAGAUACGGCCCAGACUCCUACGGGAGGCAGCAGUAGGGAAUUUUCCACAAUGAACGAAAGUUUGAUGGAGCGACACAGCGUGCAGGAUGAAGGUCUUCGGAUUGUAAACUGCUGUUAUAAGAGAAGAAAAACCCUGGUAGGUAAUGACCAGGACUUGACGGUACCUUAUCAGAAAGCGACGGCUAACUAUGUGCCAGCAGCCGCGGUAAUACAUAGGUCGCAAGCGUUAUCCGGAAUUAUUGGGCGUAAAGAGUUCGUAGGUGGUUUUGUAAGUCUGAAGUUAAAUACCGGGGCUCAACCCCGGCCCGCUUUGGAUACUGCAAAACUAGAGUAAUAGAGAGGUUAGUGGAACUCCAAGUGAAGCGGUGGAAUGCGUAGAUAUUUGGAAGAACACCAAUGGCGAAGGCAACUAACUGGAUAUUAACUGACACUGAGGAACGAAAGCGUGGGUAGCAAACAGG